CCCUGGUUCCUCCAUUCCUUGGUUUUUCACUCCAUCUCUGAAUAUCUAUGUCAAUCUUUCCCUUGUUUUCCUGCAGUACCUUUCGACUGCCUCCCUCCCACCUGACUCUACAUUCCUUAUUGUCCAUUUUGGCAAACUAGAAUCUCCAGAGAAGCCCCCCUCACCCUGCCAGACAUGCCCUUCAGGACCCGCUCAAGCAGACACAAACAUCAAACAUCUGGUGUAACACUGAGAAAGGAAGGAAGAGUGAAAAAAAGAAGAGAAAAUGUAGCAUGAAGGAUGCUUCUUCACCAUUACCAUGAUCCACAGUCAUUUGCUAAUAAGCAACCUGUAGAAAUUGUCAAGGUGGCCACUACUAUGUCUACCUCACAGGUGACGCAGCAGAGUCCAAGGAGAUGGAUCCACCAGCCAACGUCACUGCUAGUGAGCAAUAGAGAACAGAAGCCAGGUGAUCCAGUUCCAGGUCUAGUGCCUUCCACUGUGGUACUCCACAUGGAAGAAGGCAAGAAGAUCUUCAGGGAAGGGGCUGACUUGUCUUGACUAACUCCCAGUGGACCUGAAGAGAUACUGGCCAGACUUUCAAAGUAGCUGUAUACUUUCAACUAUAAAUGAAAGUCUUAUACUUGUGCAUCUUU